rnacentral:lncRNA from 1 species
CUUCUCUUGGCAGAGCUCGAAGCCCUUGAUGAAGGCAUCCUGGCCGAACUGGACCUGCAGAUCCUCCAUCUCAGAGGAGGUCUUGAACUCCUCCACUGCUCGGGCCCCUGCCUCCGAGACUAGGGAUGGGAUCUGUGCCUUCAGCUCGGAGACCUGCACCUUCAGUUCGAAGACCUCGGCCUCUGCCUUCUUUCUUUCCUUCUCCAAGGUGGCCCUA